CAAAUACAGAAUAAUUUGAUGUUACAAUAAUAGUAUCCGCAUCAUUCAGAGCUCCACAAACAUAUUCUCCAGCCUGUGAUGCUUGCAAUGAACUGAAGUUAAGAGCUCUAAAGUAUCUAAAACUAUGUCUCCAUCAGUUGUAGAAUUGAAGAGAAUGAGAUCAGGACCUGCCCAGUACACUUCCACCAUAGUAUCAUUCACUUUAGGAGCUAAUGUCAAUGUACAGGUUAAUGAAAA